ensembl:snRNA U1 U1 spliceosomal RNA
CAGCUUACCUGGCAGGGGAGAUACCAUGACCAAGAAGGUGGUUCACCCAGGGUGAGGCUCAGACAUUGCACUCUAGGUUGUGCUGACCCCUGCGAUUCCCCAAAUGUGGGAAUCUCGACUGCAUAAUUUCUGGUAGUGGGGGACUGCGUUCGCGCUCUCCCCUG